UGAGGUUAAGUUAACAAGGGCGCAUGGUGAAUGCCUUGGCACUAGGAGCCGAUGAAGGACGGGACUAACACCGAUAUGCUUCGGGGAGCUGUACGUAAGCUAUGAUCCGGAGAUU
rnacentral:rRNA from 1 species